rnacentral:lncRNA from 1 species
CGUGCGUGCGUGCGUGUUGGUAGAGAGGGGAUUCAGUUCAGGCAUGGCACAAAUUACACUCUUCAAUCUCUCUGUCUGGACUGGGUGGGAUCCGUGAUUUCAACAGAACUAGACUUCACAGCUAUGGAUCCUGACGACAUGGACGAAGAUCAACUGCUUGAUUACGCUAUUCAGAUGAGCAUUCAAGAGUCAUGCCCCAAAUAUUAUUAUCAUCUUUAGAGAGUGAUGAACAUCUGAAGAUCCUAAAGGCUAUUGAUCGAGGUGACAUUCUCGCCCUCCAAGAGCUGUCAGAAUUUCAAGAAGGCUUCAGUGAGGCAGAUGACAGGGGCUGGUACCCUCUGCACAAGGCAGCUGUCCAACCUCUGGUGAAAAUGCUGGAGAUAGUGUUGUGUGCGUCUUUUAGGUUGUCCCUGUAGGAGAAGACAAUGGAGGGAGAAACACUGCUAACUCCAGCAGCUAUGGCUGGUCUGGUGGACAAUGUGAAGAUGAUACUUGAACAUGGAGCGUCUCCCCAUAACACCAACAGCAAGAAAGAAUCCCCUCUACUGCAGGUAAUAGUGAAAGGUAUAAAGUCUGUGUCCUUGGCAUCCUUGUUGUCACAACAAGUAUUAUUGUUGAAAUGACUCCUACCAUAUUGUUCCCCUGAUAUUCAACAGUUGUUGUGAUUUCUCCCGGUCAGCUGUUAGAUUUGGGUUGUAUGAAAUGGCAUCUGCCCUGAUCACGAGAGGAGCCUGUGUGGAGCAGGUCUGUCUGAAGCAGUCGACUGCCCUGCACGAGGCGGCAAAGUUAGGCUACUCUCAUAUCAUGGAGCUGUUGUUUGAACAUGGAGGUCAGGUCUCUGAGAUUGAUCAAGACGGCGUGACUCCAAUGGCCAUUGCAGCAGAGCACGCCCACUCAGAGGUUCUAGAGAUCCUUAUUUACAGUGGUGAGUAGGUAAAAGCACGAUAGCUCCAGUUUGCCCUCUGAUAGGCUAGAGCUUGAUAUAACUUUCAACAUGUUACAUAAAACAACCCAAACCCAGAGUCAGAUAUAUAUAUAAGAGUCAUAUCUAUAUAGAGAGUUAGGCCAAUGCGGUUUCUGUCUGAAUGUUACGAGAGCGCCACUUUCUCCUCCAUAGUCGUUGCUAGGUGAUAAUUGAUGCUUCCGCUUUGUGCCGUUUAUUUCUGAUAAUUUUCAAAACCUAUGAAGAUGUCCAGUGAAAGCAGAUAUGCAAUUUAUUAACACCACAACACAGGACCGACUUGGAUACACAUUAUCCCAAAUGCUAAUCAAUAAAAACGUAUCUGAAAUCCGCUGCUCUGUUCUGCUUGUUUACAGCGGGUCAUUUCAUAGAGAAUUGUUGGAGGCACUCUCGUAUUGUUAUGUCAUCAACAUUUUGAGAAUAAAGGCGCUAACAUGGCGUCCGCUCUAAAAACCUGGCCGAAAUCUCUUAAUAUAUGGCUCUGCCCAAACCCAUCGGACACUUGGGCUGCAUUUAGACAAGCAGCCCAAUUCUGAUCUUUUUUUCACUAAUUGGUAUUUUGAUCAAUCAGAUAUGCUUAAAAAAGAUCUGAUGUGAAAAGAUCUGAUGUGAUUGGUUAAAAGACCAGUUAGUGGAAAGAAUAUCAGAAUUGGGUUAAUUGUGUCAACGCCGCCAAAUGACUAUGGGGUAAGGUGUGAUUUGGGACAUCGUGAGAAUCUCAAUUGAAUUUCCUUGAUUUCUCAUGUCCUCUCUCCUCGCCUUCUCAAAACCCAUUGGACAGACGGCGGGAGGGAUAUCUGACCUUUUCAUCCAUGUAACGCUUGAUGUAGUGGGUGUGGAGUCAGGCGCAGGAAACAAGAGCGCUUGCUAUCGUGUUCCCCGUAUGCUGUAUGAUGCUGCACAAUCUGGGAAUCCAGACUGUAUAGAUUUCCUUCUGCGACAUGGAGCCAGCCCCAAUGUACCUAGCCUGUGCUCAGAGCUACCCAUUCAUCGAACAGCAUAUGAGGGCCAUUACCUGUCACUGAGAAUUUUUAUUCUGAUAGAAGGGCAAUCAGACUUUCAGGCCAGAGUUCCAUUCACUCUGCAGCCGACGGAGUCCAUGUACAAUGCCUGGAGAUACUCGUGGAAAAGGGCUUUGAUGUCAACUCUCUCCUAGACUUUCACAUCGCUGAAGACUACAGAGACAUGAGAAAAAGUGCAUUGUACUUUACUGUCUCUAAUGGAGACGUGACCUGCACUGAAAUACUGCUGAACACAGGAGACAAAACUGACCUGGCCGCUCUAUUCUGCCUCCUGGUGGCGGUGAGAGAUGGGCAGUACGAGAUUGUGAAGCUGCUUUUGGCCAGACAGGCAGACAUCAUUUGUUACUUUGCCGUGGUGGGUGACACAGUAUUUCCCACGGCUCUGCAGUACUGCCUGCGGGACGAGAUGAUGAUGCGUCUGCUGCUCAACAACGGCUAUGACGCAGAUAAAUGUUUCUGCUGUACCCAUGACAGCACCUGGGAUGACCUGAGUGACCAGACUGAUUCCAAUUAUCAAGAAAAAGUUUCUUUCUGUAAUUUCAUCAGAGUUUCCUGGCUGGUGCACUUGGCUGGGAGAGCAGUGUGGAUCCUUCUGGACUACGUCAGUCACGUGCCUCUCUGUCCAAAGCUGAGACAGAUCCUGGAUAAGCACAAAGAGUGGCCUUAGAUCAGCUACAUAUUAGGUGGGUAGUUUGAUCAAAUUUAAAGGAAAAAACAAGAUAAAUGUGUAGGCAAUGCAAUGGCCAUGAGUAGGGGACAUGGCCCACUAAAAACCCAAACUACCUUUGCUCCUGAACCUGAAACCUCUCUUCUGUCUUACUUCUCUGACCAAGCGAAAUCCCGUUCACUGACACAUCUGUGCAGACUGGUGAUCAGGAAACAGAUGACUCCAAAGAGACUGGAGGAUCCAAACAUCAGGGACUCCGCCCCCUUCCCACCCAGACUUUUUUAAAUUCACCUUUAAAUAAAUGUCACCUUUAUUUAACCAGGUAGGCCAGUUGAGAACAAGUUCUCAUUUACAACUGCGACCUGGCCAAGAUAAAGCAAAGCAGUGCGACACAAACAACACAGAGUCACACAUGGGAUAAACAAACAUACAGUCAAUAACACAAUGGAAAUGUCUACAUACAGUGUGUGUAAAUGUAGUAAGAUUAGGGAGGUAAGGCAAUAAAUAGGCCAUAGUGGCAAAAUAAUUACAAUUUAGCAAUUAACACUGGAGUGAUAGAUGUGCAGAAGAUGAAUGUGCAAGUAGAGAUACUGGGGUGAAAAAUGGCACAAAAAAAUAAUAACAACAUGGGGAUGGGGUAGUUGGGUGGGCUAUUUACAGAUGGGCUAUGUACAGGUGCAAUGAUUGGUAAGCUGCUCUGACAGCUGAUGCUUAAAGUUAGUGAGGGACAUAUAAGUCUCCAGCUUCAGUGAUGUUUACAAUUUGUUCCAGUCAUUGGCAGCAGAGAACUGAAAGGCGGCCAAAGGAGGAGUUGGCUUUGGGGGUGACCAGUGAAAUAUACCUGCUGGAGCGCGUGCUACGGGUGGGUGCUGCUAUGGUGACCAGUGAGCUGAGAUAAGGCGGGGCUUUACCCAGCUAAGACUUAUAGAUGACCUGGAGCCAGUGGGUUUGGCAACGAAUAUGAAGUGAGGGGCAGCCAACGAGAAAAUACAGGUCGCAGUGGUGGGUAGUAUAUGGGGCAUUGGUGAAAAAACGGAUGGCAUUGUGAUAGACUACAUCCAAUUUGCUGAGAAGAGUGUCAGAGGCUAUUUUGUAAAUGACAUUGCCGAAGUCAAGGAUCGGUAGGAUAGUCAGUUUUACGAGGGCAUGUUUGGCAGCAUGAGUGAAGGAUGCUUUGUUGCGAAAUAGGAAGACGAUUCUAGAUUUAAUUUUGGAUUGGAGAAGCUUAAUGUGGGUCUGAGUAGUCUAGAGUAGUGAAGCCAGACGGGCGGGUGCGGGCAGCGAUCGGUUGAAGAACAUGCAUUUAGUUUUGCUUGCAUUUAAGAGCAGUUGGAGGCCACGGAUGGAGUGUUUUACAACAUUGAAGCUCAUCUGGAGGUUUGUUAACACAGUGUGCAAAGAUGAGUCAGAAGUAUACAGAAUGGUGUCGUCUGCGUAGAGGUAGAUCAGAGAAUCACCAGCAGCAAGAGCGACAUCAUUGAUGUAUACAGAGAAAAGAGUCGGCCAAAGAAUUAAACCUUUGGGCACCCCCAUAGAGACUGCCAGAGGUCAGGACAACAGGCCCUCCGAUUUGACACACUGAACUCUACCUGAGAAGUAGUUGGUGAACCAGGCAAGGCAGUCAUUUGAGAAACCAAGGCUGUUGAGUCGUCCGAUAAGUAUGCGGUGAUUGACAGAGUCGAAAAUCUUGGCCAGGUCGAUGAAUAUGGCUGCACAGUAUUGUCUUUUAUCGAUCGCGGUUAUGAUAUCGUUUAGGACCUUGAGCGUGGCUGAGGUGCACCCAUGACCAGCUCGGAAACCAGAUUGCAUAGCGGAGAAGGUACAGUGGGAUUCGAAAUGGUCGGUGAUCUGUUUGUUAACUUUGCUUCCGGUGACUUUAGAAAGGCAGGGUAGGAUAGAUAUAGGUCUGUAACAGUUUGGGUCUGGAGUGUCACCCACUUUGAAGAGGGGGAUGGCCGCAGCAGUUUUCCAAUCUUUAGGGAUCUCAGAUGAUACGAAAGAGAGGUUGAACAGGCUAGUAAUAGGGGUUGCAACAAUUGCGGCGGAUAAUUUUAGAAAGAGAGGGUCCAGAUUGUCUAGCCUAGCUGAUUUGUAGGGUCCAGAUUUUGUAGCUCUUUCAGAAUAUCAGCUAUCUGGAUUUGGGUGAAGGAGAAAUGGGGGAGGCUUGGGUAAGUUGCUGUGGGGGGUGCAGAGCUGUUGACCGGGGUAGGGGUAGCCAGGUGGAAAGCAUGGCCAGCCGUAGAAAAAUGCUUAUUGAAAUUCUCGAUUAUCGUAGAUUUAUUGGUGAUGACAGUGUUUUCUAGCCUCAGUGCAGUGGGCAGCAGGGAGGAGGUGCUCUUAUUCUCCAUGGACUUUACAGUGUCCCAGAACUUUUUGGAGUUUGUGCUACAGGAUGCACAUUUCUGUUUGAAAAAACUAGCCUUUGUUUUCCUAACUGCCUGUGUAUAUUGGUUCCUAACUUCCCUGAAAAGUUGCAUAUCGCGGGGGCUGUUCGAUGCUAAUGCAGUAUGCCACAGGAUGUUUUUGUGCUGGUCAAGGGCAGUCAGGUCUGGAGUGAACCAAGGGCUAUAUUUGUUCUUAGUUUUAAAAAAACUGAAUGGGGCAUGCUUAUUUAAGAUGGUGAGGAAAGCAUUUUUAAAGAAUAACCAGGCAUCCUCUACUGAUGGAAUGAGGUCAAUAUCCUUCCAGGAUACCCGGGCCAGGUCGAUUAGAAAGGCCUGCUCGCUGAAGUGUUUUAGGGAGUGUUUGACAGUGAUGAGGGGUGGUUUGACCGUGGACCCAUUACGGAUGCAGGCAAUGAGGCAGUGAUCGCUGAGAUCCUGGUUGAAGACAGCAGAGGUGUAUUUAGAGGGCAGGUUGAUCAGGAGGAUAUCUAUGAGGGUGCCCAUGUUUACGGAUUUAGGGCUGUACCUGGUGGGUUCCAUGAUAAAUUGUAUAAGAUUGAGGGCAUCUAGCUUAGAUUGUAGGAUGGCCGGGGUGUUAAGCAUAUCCCAGUUUAGGUCACCUAACAGUACAAACUCCGAAGAUAAAUGGGGGGCAUUUAAUUCACGUAUGGUGUCCAGGGCACAGCUGGGGGCUGAGGUGAGUCUAUAACAAGCAGCAACAGUGAGAGACUUAUUUCUGGAGAGGUGGAUUUUUAAAAGUAGAAGCUCGAACUGUUUGGGUACAUACCUGGAUAGCAUGACAUAACUCUGCAGUAGAUUGCAACUCCACCCCCUUUGGCAGUUCUUUCUUGCCGGAAAAUAUUGUAGUUGGGGAUGGAAAUUUGUGGCAUUCCUAAGCCAGGAUUCAGACACGGCUAGGACAUCAGGGUUGGCAGAGUGUGCUAAAGCAGUGAAUAAAGCAAAUUUAGGGAGGAGGCUUCCGAUGUUAACAUGCAUGAAACCAAGGCUUUUGCGGUUACAGAAGUCAACAAAUGAUAGCGCCUGGGGAAUAGGAGUGGAACUAGGGGCUACAGGGCCAGGGUUAACUUCUAGGAGGAACAGAGGAGGAGUAGGAACAGGGAACAGGGUGGGAACAGGGUAGGAACCGGGUACGGCUAAAGGCUAUAAGAACUGGUCGUCUAGUGCGUUGGGGACAGAGAAUAAAAGGAGCAGAUUUCUGGGCAUGGUAGAAUAGAUUCAAGGCAUAAUGUACAGACAAGGAUAUGGUAGGAUGUGAGUACAGUGGAGGUAAACCUAGGCAUUGAGUGACGAUGAGAGAGGUUUCGUCUCUGGAGGGACAAGUUAAGCCAGGUGAGGUCUCUGCAUGUGUAUGGGGUGGGACGGAAGAGCUAUCUAAGGAAUUUUGAGCGGGACUGAAGGCUCUACAGUGAAAUAAAACAGUAAAAACUAGCCAAGACAGCAGUAGACAAGGCAUAUUGACAUUAGAGAGAGGCAUAAAGCAAUCACAGGUGUUGAUCAGGAGAGCUAAGACAGCAAUGGAAACAUGGCGAUGAAUGGGCAGAGUGGGUCAGUUAGGUACAUACAGGACCCGAGUUCGAGGCUGGGGCCGACAGGUAAACAAAAUGAGGUACCGUGUUCUUGAAACAGUCCAGGGGGCAUAGCUGUGUAGCAGAGUGAUCAUACGGUCAAAAGAACAGCAAUAGGUGAGUCAGGUUGCCGUUUUCUAGUCACUACUACGCUAGGCGAGCAGGGGACACAGCGUUCUGAAAAGUUAGCAUGUUGGGGCUAGUAGCUGGUUCUUCGGCGACAUCGUAACAAAAUAGCCUGCUGAGACCACAUCGAGCAAUCACGUCGGCAGUCCAGUCGUGAUGGAUCGACGGGGCUCCGUGUUGACAAUAAAGGGUCCAGGCCAAUUGGCAAAGGAGGUAUUUUAGCCCUAGAAUUAGCUGGUAUAUGGGCCUAGCUCACGGCUAGCUGGUGCUUGCUUUGGGACAGAGGCAUUAGCUAACAGUAGCCACUCGUUUGCAGCUAGCUAGCUAGAACUGAAGGAAUAGACUGAAGGAAUACCUAUUCUACAAAGAAAAUGAUUUGUAUGGCAAAAUUAUAUGUAUGGACAAGUGAAAGUCUGUUGUGUUUAAUAGUUAGGGUGAGGCACAAUGAAAUAGUUCACAUAAGGAAGGAGGGAUGAUGGUUCUUAUAGUAAAUGAUGGCAUUUACUUGGAUCCAGAAUAAGAAUAUGUAUGUUUAUUUUAUUUAUAAAGAGACUAGACCACUUAACAAUGAGAACAAUCAUCUGUAUUCAUAAACUCGUCUUAAAAGUAUACUUUCAUUUUGCAACGUCGUUUUUCAAUAAUUUAUUUAUUUUCAUUUACUGUUCGUCUUUGCUUUUACAGUGAAUUGAAUUCAUGGCAAUAAGACUCAUUCCAUGUUGCUGUUGUUUUUAAAACAACUUAUAUUAUAUUGUUAGUACCGAAACUGACACCUGUCUAGAUGUUGGCUAUCUAAUUAAAUAUUUGGAUUAUCAAAACAUUGAGGUUAAUGCUGAUUACUGACACCAGUUGAUUGCUGCAUGGAACAUCACAACACUUCAGGAGUGAAGUGGAAUGACCUGCAUUCCUUAAGUGACAGAUAGUGAAAGCAGGUCAACUCUAAUUAUAACCAUAUAUUGCCUGGAGUGCAAACAACAAACAUGCACUCUAACCUGAUAAUGGCAGACCUCUGACUUCCAUGUGAAAAAAUGAUACCAUGUUAACACCAGAAAUGAUUUUAUAUGGAUUGAAAAUACAAAAUACAAAACAGGAGCCAUUGAGGAGGUAGCAUACUUCAGUCAAUUGUCUUCCUGAGUUUCUUAAAUGUUUCACUGUCCUCCCAAUAUGUUGUAAUCUUCCACUAGAGGGCAACAUUAGCAUUUAUGCUAUACACCUAUGCUCACUAGUUUGCGGAACCCAUGGAAAUGUCCUGGGGGAAUAUGGGACCUUGAACUGUUCAUGGUCAAUCUACUCAAAAUUGGACAUUGCCUGGUCUUGUUUGGGUAGUAACUGCCAUAGAUAUUAGAUCACUGUCUGUAGGGUAUUAUAUCAUAUUACAAUAUUUACUGCUUAAUGUCCUUUUACAUUUGAUUCAAAUGUAUCAAGAAGCUGAUUAAACAGCAUGAUAAUUAUCCAAGUUUAUCUCUAAAAUGUGCAGUUUUGUCACACAAUGCCACAGAUGUCUCACGUUUGAGGGAGAAUGCAAUUGGCCUGCUGACUGUAGGAAUGCUCACCAGAAUCAUUGCCAGUGAAUUUAAUGUUAAUUUCUCUAGGUCAUUUUAGAGAAUUUGGCAGUAUGUCCAACCAGCCUCAAAACCGCAGACCACGUGUAACCACGCCAGCCCGGGACCUCCACAUCCGAGUUCUUCACCUGCGGGAUUGUCUGAGACCAUCCACCUGGACAGCUGAUGAAAUUGAGGAGUAUUUCUGUCUGUAAUAAAGCCCAUUUGUGUGGAAAAACAAAUUCAGAUUGGCUGGGGCUGGCUCCCCCACUGCCCAGUCAUGUGAAAUCCGUAGAUUAGUGCCUAAUGAAUUUAUUUCAGUCGACGGAUUUUCUUAUAUGAACUGUAUCUCAGUAAAAUCGUAAUUUUUUUUGCAUGUUGCAUUUAUAUUUUUGAUCAGUAUAUAUUUUCCUUCUUUAUUAUUUUCCCCUAACCCUACCAUCCCUCCCCCAAUCAGAGUAAACUAAUUGACAACAAGACUUCUAUUUCCAGUUUAUACAUACUAUAUAUAUUUUACGGACAUGGUGCAUUUUACAUUAGUUAAAGUAUAUUUUUCAAUACCACCACUCAGCUAUUAUUAUAUUAUCGAUCAAUUGACUAUGGCUUUUGAAGUCACCGUCAUAGAAUGCCACCUUUCCAACAAGUCAGUUCAUCAAAUUUCUGCCCCGCUAGAGCUGCCACGGUCAACUGUAAGUACUGGUAUUAUGAAGUGGAAACAUCUAGGAGCAACAGCGGCUGAAGUGGUAGGCCACACAAGCUCACAGAAUGGGACCGCCGAGUGCUGAAGCGCGUAGUGCGUAAAAAUCGUCUGUCCUCGGUUGCAACACUCACUACCGAGUUCCAAACUGCCUCUGGAAGCAACGUCAGCACAAGAACUGUUCGUCGGGAGCUUCAUGAAAUGGGUUUCCAUGGCCAAGCAGCCACUCACAAGCCUAAGAUCACCAUGCGCAAUGCAAAUCGCGGACUGGAGUAGUGUAAAGCUCGCUGCUAUUGGACUCGCGUUCUCUGGAGUGAUGAAUCUUGCUUCACCAUCUGGCAGUCCGACAGACAAAUCUGGGUUUGGCGAAUGCCAGGAGAAUGCUAUCUACCCGAAUGCAUAGUGCCAAUUGUAAAGUUUGGGGGAGGAGGAAUAAUGGUCUUGAGCUGUUUUUCAUGGUUCAGGCCCCUUAGUUCCAGUGCAGGAAAAUCUUAGCAUGACAGCGUACAAUGACAUUCUAGACAAUUGUGUGCUUCCAACUUUGUGGCAACAGUUUAGGGAAGGCCCUUUCCUGUUUCAGCAAGACAAUGCCCCUGUGCACAAAGCGAGGUCCAUACAGAAAUGGUUUGUCGAGAUCGGUGUGGAAGAACUUGACUGGCCUGCACAGAGCCCUGACCUCAACUCCAUCAAACACCUUUGGGAUGAAUUAGAACACCGACUGAGAGCCAGGCCUAAUUGCCCAACAUCAGUGUCCGUCCUCACUAAUGCUCUCAUGGCUGAAUGGAAGCAAGUCCCCGCAGCAAUGUUCCAACAUCUAGUGGAACACCUUCCCAGAAGAGUGUUUGGUAUUAUAGCAGCAAAAAAGGGACUAACUCCAUAUUAAUGCCCAUGAUUUUGGAAUGAGAUGUUCGAUGAGCAGGUGUCCACAUACUUUUGGUCAUGGAGUUUAUUUUGCUUCCUCUUAAAAUAUAUUGUUUGGUGAAUCAUUAAUGACUAUGUUGAAGAUUAAAAAAGAUUUUGGUGCGUUUUCCCCCAUAUUUCAUCCAGUUGGCUUUAUUUUUCAUAAUAUAUUACACUUGAUCUUUCUUAAAUAAGUUCCUCCAGUUAUUUUUGUUUUUCCUCGAACAUAUUCUGUGCCUCUGUGGUCCAGUUUUUAUUGCUAUCCAUCUGAACUGUUAGUUCUUCUAUUUCCUUUGUUAAUAUGAACUCUUGACCAAAACUGUUUUUGUUUUAAAGAUGAGUGCUGAAUUGCAUGGCCUCUGAAGGCACAUUUGAAAGUUUCCAAAACAAUAAGGGGAUCUAUUAAGGAGGAAAAAGUCAGUUAUAAAUUAUUGUGUCUUGGUUAAAAAUAAGUUGUAAUCCAGUAGGCUUUGAUUACAUUUCCAAUGUCCUCAGCCGUGUGGAAAUUCUGUAAGUAAUAUGUAUGAUUAUAUUUCCAAUAUCCUCGGCCAUGUGGAAAUUCUGUAAGAGUAAUGUGUAUGCCAAUUAUUUGAUGGUCUGACCACAUUCUGUCCCCUUUGAACACUUUUAGAACUUUUGGUGGCAGCGAGAAUUACAUAAGAAAGUAGUCAAGACGACUAGCUUGAUUCAGCCUCCUCCAUGUACUGUAUAUCUCACUAGGUCAGGAUAUUUGAGCCUCCUCCAUGUACUGUAUAUCUCACUAGGUCAGGAUAUUUGAGCCUCCAUAUAUCCACUAAUUCCAAUAUGUCCAUAAUAUUUGUGAUUUAAGUUCAUGAGGGUGAUAGUUUGUAGUGUGAUUUCCUUUACAGAACAUUGAGGUACUUAAUAUUAGAGUUGUGUAUUGCCUGUAAGCGAGAAAUUAUUAUAUAUAUUUUCAAAAGAAGUGUGCAUAAUCAUUAUUUGGACGGUAUAGAUUAAUGAGCCAAAUCUGUUAACGGCCAUUAGCAUAUUUAAAAAGAUCCACCUUCCUUGCCGAGCUGUUUGAACAUUUAGAUCGACAUUCUUUUUUUAUUAAUAUCGUCACCCCUUUUGAGUUUCUUUGACCAUGAGAGAAGUAUAUCAUCCCCCUCCCCCAGUCCCUUUUACACACAACUUAAUCUAAAGAUGUAGAAUAAGUUUCCUGUAAACAAUAGAUAUUAUAUUCCUUCUCUAUUAGCCAGGUAAAGACCAAUCGUCUUUUCUUAUCAUCUGCUAAGCCAUUACAAUUCUAACUAGCCAUACUUAUUUCACUUCUUACCAUAAUGAGAUACACGUUUCAAUUAUACUUACAAUAAUAUGUUUGUAAACUUCAU